rnacentral:rRNA from 1 species
AACGAACGCUGGCGGCAUGCCUAACACAUGCAAGUCGAACGAGACCUUCGGGUCUAGUGGCGCACGGGUGCGUAACGCGUGGGAACCUGCCCUUAGGUUCGGAAUAACUCCCCGAAAGGGGUGCUAAUACCGGAUAAUGUCUUCGGACCAAAGAUUUAUCGCCUUUGGAUGGGCCCGCGUUGGAUUAGCUAGUUGGUAGGGUAAAAGCCUACCAAGGCGACGAUCCAUAGCUGGUCUGAGAGGAUGAUCAGCCACACUGGGACUGAGACACGGCCCAGACUACUACGGGAGUCAGCAGUGGGGAAUAUUGGACAAUGGGCGAAAGCCUGAUCCAGCAAUGCCGCGUGAGUGAUGAAGGCCUUAGGGUUGUAAAGCUCUUUUACCCGGGAUGAUAAUGACAGUACCGGGAGAAUAAGCUCCGGCUAACUCCGUG